rnacentral:tRNA from 1 species
GCCUCCGUAGCUCAGUGGAUAGAGCAACGGUUUCCUAAACCGCAGGUCGUAGGUUCGAUUCCUCCCGGGGGCG